rnacentral:tRNA from 1 species
GGGUGAUUAGCUCAGCUGGUUAGAGUACCUGCGUGACAUGCAGGGGGCCACUGGUUCAAGUCCAGUAUCACCCACCA